rnacentral:rRNA from 1 species
UACGUAGGGUGCGAGCGUUGUCCGGAAUUAUUGGGCGUAAAGAGCUUGUAGGCGGUCUGUCGCGUCUGCUGUGAAAACUCACAGCUCAACUGUGAGCUUGCGGUCGAUACGGGCAGGCUAGAGUGUGGUAGGGGAGAUCGGAAUUCCUGGUGUAGCGGUGAAAUGCGCAGAUAUCAGGAGGAACACCGGUGGCGAAGGCGGAUCUCUGGGCCAUUACUGACGCUGAGGAGCGAAAGCGUGGGGAGCGAACAGG